CACGCUGAAAAUACCGGUUCUCGUUCGAUCAGCCAAGUUAAGCAGCGUCGAGCCCGGUUAGUACUUAGAUGGGGGAUCACUUGGGAAGACCGUGUACUA